rnacentral:rRNA from 1 species
CCUACGGGAGGCAGCAGUGGGGAAUAUUGCACAAUGGAGGAAACUCUGAUGCAGCGACGCCGCGUGAGUGAAGAAGUAUUUCGGUAUGUAAAGCUCUAUCAGCAAGGAAGAUAAUGACGGUACUUGACUAAGAAGCCCCGGCUAACUACGUGCCAGCAGCCGCGGUAAU